UACGUAGGGGGCAAGCGUUGUUCGGAAUGACUGGGCGUAAAGGGUGCGUAGGCGGUGUAGCAAGUUAGAAGUGAAAUACCUAGAGCUUAACUCAGGUGCUGCUUCUAAAACUGCUAUACUUGAGUGCAGUAGAGGAAAGUGGAACUCCUAGUGUAGCGGUGGAAUGCGUAGAUAUUAGGAGGAACAUCAGUGGCGAAGGCGACUUUCUGGACUGUAACUGACGCUGAGGCACGAAAGUGUGGGGAGCAAACGGG
rnacentral:rRNA from 1 species